GAGAAUUUGUCGACGGGGAGGAGUAUCCUCGUGUACCUAUCAAAAGAGAGCCGGGUUAGGUGAAAGCCGGUAUAGGGAUACGAGGGGAACAUGGCCCCUGAGAACCCUCUUUGAAUACUGUGAUUCUGGUGGUAAGAGAGGGCGUGUCCCGACGUUAAUGGGCAGUGAGUUCACUGGUUAAGGCCGCUUACCGUGAGGAAGCGGCGAACUUGGGUGGUACCGCGAAGCAGCCUUCGCCCCAUGA
rnacentral:ncRNA from 1 species